UCGCACGUCUCGUCCGUCAACACGGAGAUGAAUCACAGAUUGGAGGAAUUUACUGGACUCGAGCGGAUGUUUGGGAUCGCUGGGAGGCCUUGUCUUCCUCUUAGUUUUCAUGCAUUUUGGUGAUAGACGUACCUGUAAAGGAAUCGGAAGCAGAAAGAGAGCGGAUGAGUGGAAAGUAUCGGAAAAACACCACAGAAGUCAGUGGUGGUGUGGACACGCCAGGAGCAGAUUUGGGAUAUUUGGAGAAAUGAUGGGGGAGAUUUGAUCAUUUGAGGACCUCAAACACCAGCCGUCCGAGCUCUCCCAUGAAGUAGCUGCUCCACCCACGGAUGGUGCCUGACCGAAAGACAAAUAAUGCGUGCGGGAAAGGAAGUCCGACACAUCACCAGACACAACAACAGGAUGACUGUCUCUCCGGCUCGCGGGUUUGAGCACCGUCCCAGAGUUCAGAAGACCCGACCUUGAAAGCUGCCACGCCUGCAGCGUAAGAAGUGAUUCUGGCGGCCUUAGGAUGGGUGAGCUUCACGGGGCCUCAUACGCCGUUGAUUCACCACAGCAAGUCUGAAAGGGG
ensembl:lncRNA